UACGAGUGCCCCAAGCGUUAUCCGGAAUCAUUGGGCGUAAAGGUGUGUAGGCGGUUUUGUUAGUCUUCUGUCAAAUUCUUCGGCUCAACCGGGGUCCGCAGGAGAAACGGCAAAACUAGAGGAUGUGAGAGGUGAAUGGAACUCAUGGUGUAGGGUGAAAUCCGUUGAUAUCAUGGGAACACCAAAAGCGAAGCAUUCACUGCACACUCCUGACGCUAAACACGAAAGCGUGGUAGCGAAGUGG
rnacentral:rRNA from 1 species